rnacentral:rRNA from 1 species
CCUACGGGUGGCAGCAGUGGGGAAUCUUGCACAAUGGGGGAAACCCUGAUGCAGCGACGCCGCGUGAGUGAAGAAGUUUUUCGUUAUGUAAAGCUCUUUCAGCAGGGAAGAUAAUGACGGUAUCUGAGUAAGAAGCCCCGGCUAACUACGUGCCAGCAGCCGCGGUAAUACGUAGGGGGCAAGCGUUAUUCGGAUUUACUGGGUGUAAAGGGAGCGUAGACGGCAGUGCAAGUCUGGAGUGAAAGGCUGGGGCUCAACCCCCGGACUGCACUGGAAACUGUACGGCUGGAGUGUGGGAGAGGAAGGUGGAAUUCCUGGUGGAGCGGUAAAAUGCGUAGAUAUUAGGAGGAACACCAGUGGCGAAGGCGACUUGCUGGAAUAUAACUGACGUUGAGGCGCGAAAGCGUGGGGAGCAAACAGGAUUAGAUACCCGGGUAGUC